UACGGAGGGUGCGAGCGUUGUCCGGAAUCACUGGGCGUAAAGGGCGCGUAGGCGGCAUGCCAAGCGUGUGGUGAAAGCUCGGGGCUCAACCCCGAGUCGGCCGUGCGAACUGCUGGGCUCGAGCACUGUAGAGGCAGGCGGAAUUCCGGGUGUAGCGGUGGAAUGCGUAGAGAUCCGGAAGAACACCGGUGGCGAAGGCGGCCUGCUGGGCAGUGGCUGACACUGAGGCGCGACAGCGUGGGGAGCAAACAGG
rnacentral:rRNA from 1 species